rnacentral:lncRNA from 7 species
GCCCACGUCGACAGCUCACGCCGCGCCAGAACUCCUCGCCGUUAGCCGCCGUAGUCGCUUGCCGUCGACGACCCCAGCUGUCGCGCGUGGUGCGCUCCUUGGUGACCCAGCGGGGGUGUAGAUUGUGCACAAAGGCGGUGCAGGGUGCGCGGACCUACGGGGUGAGGGGAAUUCCUCGCCGGUGUUGGUGAAGCCGCCGCACUCGGACGCUCUCCGUGGCCAGGGACUCUCACUCCGAAUUUGUAGCGUGAGGUUUCGAGGAUCUGAAGAAUCACCCUGGUAACUGGAAUCUCAAGUGCCAGGAGAAGAACAGGUGGUCGAAGAGGAGCCGCCUAACACUGAGGAGUUCGAUCUGAUCUAGGUGGCGUUUCUCAGUCGACAUUGGCGCCGACGAUCCUUAGUUCGUUUUAUGUUUACACUUUUAUUUUGUAAUAAGUCUUCCGCUAUGUAAUAAAUACUCUGAUGUUUU